UUUCACAGAGGACCAGGAAGCCUACUUAGGAUCUGUACUCCAUGAACUUCACCAUGGGUGAUUCUUGAGGACAAGCAACUUGGCAACACCAAGCGGCAAACUGCCAGACAGAUAAGUGUUUCUGAAGGUGAAGUGGAGUGAAGUUGGAUAUCCGGAUCUUACGUUUUGCUUCUCCUGGCAAUAUCCUUUGCAAGCUGUGCACCCCGUUUGCCCUUGAACAUUUUCUCUGCUUCCUGACGCUCCUACAGCGACACCACACACAGAGUUAAUGGAAAUAGGGGUACCACAUGCAUUUAGAUGCAUUCCUCAGGAAAAAAAAAAAAAAGAGGAAGAAAACUCUCUUGAAAUACUCUGGGUUGGUUAAGAAUGCCCAAAAGCCAAUUUCGAAUUUGUAGACAACACAAUGGUAUUUACUGCCUUCUCUGGUGAAGUAAAAUUCACUCUCCUCUUUAUAAAAAUAAAAUUUCCUGGGCUGGGGAAAUGA